GAUGAAGAACGCAGCGAAAUGCGAUACGUAAUGUGAAUUGCAGAAUUCAGUGAAUCAUCGAGUCUUUGAACGCACAUUGCGCCCCCUGGCAUUCCGGGGGCAUGCCUGUCCGAGCGUCAUUUCUGCCCUCCAGCCCGGCUGGGUGUUGGGCGCUGUCCCCCCGGGGACACGCCCCAAAGGCAGUGGCGGCGCCGCGUCGGGUCCUCGAGCGUAUGGGGCUUUGUCACCCGCUCGGGACGGACUCGUCGGCGCUGGUCUUCCUCCAGGCGACCCUUCGGGGCUCGUCUUCCUUCGGUUGACCUCGGAUCAGGUAGGGUUACCCGCUGAACUUAAGCAUAUCAAUAAGCGGAGGA
rnacentral:misc_RNA from 1 species